GUCUUUUUGAUUUAUAUAUAAAGUUUGACCUGCCCACUGAAAAUUUUAAAUGGCUGCAGUAAUUUGACUGUACAAAGGUAGCAUAAUCAUUAGUUUUUUAAUUAAAAGCUUGUAUGAAAGGUUGGACGAAGUAAAAUCUGUCUCUUUUUAAUAUAAUUAGAAUUUAAUUUUUAAGUAAAAAAGCUUAAAUUUUUAUAAAAGACGAGAAGACCCUAUAGAGUUUAAUAAUUUUAAUAAAAUAUUUAAUUAAGAUUUAUUAAUUUUAUUUAAUUAAAAUUAUUUUAUUGGGGUAAUAAAAAGAUUAAAAAAAUUCUUUUUUUUUAAUACAUUAAUUUAUGAAUAUAUGAUCCAUUUGUAGUGAUUAAAAGAUUAAAUUACCUUAGGGAUAACAGCGUAAUUUUUUUAAAGAGUUCUUAUCGAUAAAAAAGUUUGCGACCUCGAUGUUGGAUUAAAGAUUAAUUUAGGUGUAGAAGUUUAAAUUUU
rnacentral:rRNA from 1 species